UAGGCUACGCUUUCUGAUUAUGUAAUAUUUUUUUUCUUAGAAUAUAU
rnacentral:rRNA from 1 species